rnacentral:misc_RNA from 1 species
CCCAAAAACUACAAUUCCCAAUUCUUUUUCUUCUCCUUCUGCUGCUGCUGCUGCUGCUGAGUCCCUGUCUUUAUCUCUCUCUUCGUUUUCUAUUGGAUCUAACUCCCGAAAACUCUCUAUCUUUCCCAGACUCCAAAGAAUUGGACAUAAAGGUGAGUUUUUGGUUCUUUGUUCAUGGUCUUAAUUUCUUUAAUUGUGCAAUUAAUUUCGUUUCUUGUUUCUGCAUCAUUCAUCCAUUUGUUAGUUUAAUCUCUGGAUAAUCUAUCUAUUUGUAUUUUAAUUUUCCUCAGCAGGCAAUAGUGAAUAAUAUUUUAUUAGAAUUUAUUUAAAUGGGAAAUCAUCCAACUUUUUGCAAUUGUUGGUUUUCGCUGUAAUUUGGAAAGAUUUCAACUUCUUUGUCGAAAAUGGUUAUAUUGUUGUAGGAAAUUUCUUUGUAUAACCUGCUUUUCUGUUUCAUAGACUCUUAAAUUGACUUUUCUUGGUUCAAUUUUUGGCUAAAAAAUUUCAAACCUUUGGUUUAAUUUUCAUUUGUAGCCAGUGAUCUAAUUUGUAUAAAUUUUGUACGUGACUUUUAAUACUAAUCUUUAUUGUUGGUUUUGAUAUCAAUUUUAGCCAAACUUACUUGAAAAUGCAUGUUUAUGUACGAAAACUUUUUGCUGAAAGAGUAUUUUUAUUGAUAAAAAUUUCGCAAAAGCAAAUGAUAUGAUGUGAUAUUGUAUAUUUAAGGAAGGGAAGAAUAUAUUAUGGCUUAUUUAAGGUAGGGAAGCGAGGAAGGCCGGGUUAGGAGAAGGUGGAGCUUGUAAAAUGAUUGGGAUCUUUCUCUUGUAUUUAACUGUUAAAUCAUUUUUAUGUCAAUUAAUUUGGUUUUUGUUAUUGUUGUUGUUUAUAUAAUUAGUAAAAUUUUGAAUUUUUUUUAUUCAUUAACCCAAAACAAAAUUUUAUGUUCAUUGUCAUUUCUAGCUCAACCUCUCUCUCUCUCUCUCUCUC